rnacentral:rRNA from 1 species
CUACGGGAGGCAGCAGUGGGGAAUUUUGCGCAAUGGGCGAAAGCCUGACGCAGCGACGCCGCGUGGAGGAUGAAGGUUUUCGGAUUGUAAACUCCUUUUGUAGGGGAAGAUAAUGACGGUACCCUAUGAAUAAGCCACGGCUAACUCUGUGCCAGCAGCCGCGGUAAGACAGAGGUGGCAAGCGUUGUUCGGAAUUACUGGGCUUAAAGGGCGCGUAGGUGGUGGCAUAAGUCCGAGGUGGAAGACUAAGGCUUAACCUUAGAAUUGCCUUGGAAACUGUAUCACUUGAGUCAGCGAGGGGAUGGCGGAAUUCCAGGUGUAGCGGUGAAAUGCGUAGAUAUCUGGAGGAAGGCCGGUGGCGAAGGCGGCCAUCUGGCGCUGAACUGACACUGAGGCGCGAAAGCGUGGGGAGCAAACAGGAUUAGAUACCCCGGUAGU